UUGCAAGCGAUGACAAGUCACACUGGGUAUUGGCGCACGUAUUAGGGUGCGGCUACACACAGGUUGAUGCUGAUGACAGCAUUUGGCUGGAGCUGGAUGAAGGAAUGAUCCCAUCAACUAUUUUUAGAAGGAUCAUAAAAAAAUUAUACUUAGCCAAAAUAGUCUUCUUCUAGAAAUAACGAGGCAUGUGUUUUAGCUCCGGUCAGCCGAGCAUAUAUUUGUCUGAAAUCGAAUCUUUAUAUUUGCUUGUGAACUGGUUGUUUGGUAGACCAUAUAUUUAGUGCAAAUAUUGGACUUUUACUUUAGUGACAAUGUCCAUGUAGGUAAAAUUUCAGUGUUUAUUAUCAAGUCCAUAUAUCACAAUCCCUGCAUAUCCUUUGUAGUACUUGUAACCUUCUAUUUCGAUUAAGUGAAAGAUAAUCUUUUCCGUAUAGUUUCAA